GAGUUUGAUCAUGGCUCAGAAUGAACGCUGGCGGCAUGCCUAACACAUGCAAGUCGAACGAACCCUUCGGGGUGAGUGGCGCACGGGUGCGUAACGCGUGGGAACCUACCAUCAGGUUCGGAAUAACAGUUAGAAAUGACUGCUAAUACCGGAUAAUGUCUUCGGACCAAAGAUUUAUCGCCUUUUGAUGGGCCCGCGUUAGAUUAGCUAGUUGGUGAGGUAACUGCUCACCAAGGCGACGAUCUAUAGCUGGUCUGAGAGGAUGAUCAGCCACACUGGGACUGAGACACGGUCCAGACUCCUACGGGAGGCAGCAGUGGGGAAUUUUCUGCAAUGGGCGAAAGCCUGACAGAGCAAUACCGCGUGAGGGAAGAAAGCCCACAGGGUUGUAAA
rnacentral:rRNA from 1 species